UAGGGAAUCUUCCACAAUGGACGCAAGUCUGAUGGAGCAACGCCGCGUGAGUGAAGAAGGUUUUCGGAUCGUAAAGCUCUGUUGUUGGUGAAGAAGGAUAGGGGUAUAACUGGCCUUUAUUUGACGGUAAUCAACCAGAAAGUCACGGCUAACUACGUGCCAG
rnacentral:rRNA from 1 species